rnacentral:rRNA from 1 species
ACGCUAAUACCGCAUACGUCCUACGGGAGAAAGCAGGGGACCUUCGGGCCUUGCGCUAUCAGAUGAGCCUAGGUCGGAUUAGCUAGUUGGUGAGGUAAUGGCUCACCAAGGCGACGAUCCGUAACUGGUCUGAGAGGAUGAUCAGUCACACUGGAACUGAGACACGGUCCAGACUCCUACGGGAGGCAGCAGUGGGGAAUAUUGGACAAUGGGCGAAAGCCUGAUCCAGCCAUGCCGCGUGUGUGAAGAAGGUCUUCGGAUUGUAAAGCACUUUAAGUUGGGAGGAAGGGCAGUAGCUUAAUACUUGACAAUUUUGACGUUACCGACAGAAUAAGCACCGGCUAACUCUGUGCCAGCAGCCGCGGUAAUACAGAGGGUGCAAGCGUUAAUCGGAAUUACUGGGCGUAAAGCGCGCGUAGGUGGUUUGUUAAGUUGGAUGUGAAAUCCCCGGGCUCAACCUGGGAACUGCAUUCAAAACUGACUGACUAGAGUAUGGUAGAGGGUGGUGGAAUUUCCUGUGUAGCGGUGAAAUGCGUAGAUAUAGGAAGGAACACCAGUGGCGAAGGCGACCACCUGGACUGAUACUGAC